GCUUGGUUGAGGUAGUGGUUAACCUGUCUGCCUCCCAGAUGAAAUAAAAUUGAGUGCGCAGGAAACGGGGAUUCGAAUUCCCCACCAAGCA